rnacentral:tRNA from 1 species
GCGCGAGUGGCGGAAUUGGUAGACGCGCGUGACUUAGGAUCACGUCCCGAUGAGGGGUGCGGGUUCGAGUCCUGCCUCGCGCA